GGGGGAUAACAUUUGGAAACAGAUGCUAAUACCGCAUAAAUCCAAGAACCGCAUGGUUCUUGGCUGAAAGAUGGCGUAAGCUAUCGCUUUUGGAUGGACCCGCGGCGUAUUAGCUAGUUGGUGAGGUAACGGCUCACCAAGGCAAUGAUACGUAGCCGAACUGAGAGGUUGAUCGGCCACAUUGGGACUGAGACACGGCCCAAACUCCUACGGGAGGCAGCAGUAGGGAAUCUUCCACAAUGGACGCAAGUCUGAUGGAGCAACGCCGCGUGAGUGAAGAAGGCUUUCGGGUCGUAAAACUCUGUUGUUGGAGAAGAAUGGUCGGCAGAGUAACUGUUGUCGGCGUGACGGUAUCCAACCAGAAAGCCACGGCUAACUACGUGCCAGCAGCCGCGGUAAUACGUAGGUGGCAAGCGUUAUCCGGAUUUAUUGGGCGUAAAGCGAGCGCAGGCGGUUUUUUAAGUCUGAUGUGAAAGCCCUCGGCUUAACCGAGGAAGUGCAUCGGAAACUGGGAAACUUGAGUGCAGAAGAGGACAGUGGAACUCCAUGUGUAGCGGUGAAAUGCGUAGAUAUAUGGAAGAACACCAGUGGCGAAGGCGGCUGUCUGGUCUGUAACUGACGCUGAGGCUCGAAAGCAUGGGUAGCGAACAGGAUUAGAUACCCUGGUAGUCCAUGCCGUAAACGAUGAAUGCUAGGUGUUGGAGGGUUUCCGCCCUUCAGUGCCGCAGCUAACGCAUUAAGCAUUCCGCCUGGGGAGUACGACCGCAAGGUUGAAACUCAAAGGAAUUGACGGGGGCCC
rnacentral:rRNA from 1 species